rnacentral:lncRNA from 1 species
UAGCGCAGAGAGUAGAGGGUGCUGGAGAUGCCAGACGGUUGGUUCUGAGGAGAGAUUUUGCAACGCAAUGGAGCGAGGAAGGGAUCGUUUACACUUGAGAAGAACUACUGAACAGCACGUGCCAGAGAUUGAGGUCCAGGUCAAACGUAGAAGGACAGCCUCACUGAGCAACCAAGAGUGUCACUUGUACCCAAGGCGUUCUCAGCAACAGCAAAUUCCUGUGGUGGAUUUCCAGGCAGAACUGAGACAGGCGUUCUUAGCUGAGACACCAAGAGGUGGUUAAAGCAGUAUUGGAACUGUGGGGUGGUGGAAGUCAACAAAAACAGGCUAGCAUUGAAUUUCUAGGCAUCAUCCUAUCCUGCCUUGCUUCUCCCAAGUUCUCAUAGGCAUAAAACUAUACAAGGUUUUUGUGGUGUGUGGAAAGGCUUUGUCUUACCUAUCCAGAGUCAUAGGGAUACAAGGACCUAUCCACUGAUUGUGAAACUUUGGUCAAGCUUACACUGUGUUAAUAGCCUGCAUCAAACCUUUAUUUAUUGCCCUUCUCCAAGUAUUAAGGAUCUUGAAAUUUUAGUGUUGACAACUGCUAUUGUGGAACAGCAAUCAUGACUGUGGGUAAGAGUAGCAAGAUGCUCCAGCAUAUUGACUAUAGAAUGAGAUGUAUCCUGCAAGAUGGAAGAAUCUUCAUUGGCACCUUUAAGGCUUUUGACAAGCAUAUGAAUUUGAUCCUCUGUGAUUGUGAUGAGUUCAGGAAGAUCAAGCCAAAGAAUGCAAAACAGCCAGAACGUGAAGAAAAACGGGUUUUGG